rnacentral:rRNA from 1 species
CCUACGGGGGGCUGUAGUGGGGAAUAUUGGACAAUGGGCGAAAGCCUGAUCCAGCCAUGCCGCGUGUGUGAAGAAGGCCUUCGGGUUGUAAAGCACUUUCAGUGGGGAAGAAAGCCUUGGGGCUAAUACCCUCGAGGAAGGACAUCACCCACAGAAGAAGCACCGGCUAACUCCGUGCCAGCAGCCGCGGUAAUACGGAGGGUGCGAGCGUUAAUCGGAAUUACUGGGCGUAAAGCGCGCGUAGGCGGUCUGAUAAGCCGGUUGUGAAAGCCCCGGGCUCAACCUGGGAACGGCAUCCGGAACUGUCAGGCUAGAGUGCAGGAGAGGAAGGUAGAAUUCCCGGUGUAGCGGUGAAAUGCGUAGAGAUCGGGAGGAAUACCAGUGGCGAAGGCGGCCUUCUGGACUGACACUGACGCUGAGGUGCGAAAGCGUGGGUAGCAAACAGGAUUAGAUACCCGAGUAGUC